UUUCGCUUUACCACUUCCGGGUACCUCUACUCGGUAAACAAAUAGAGAAAUAAUAUGGUAUAUUGUUUUGCCAUCGGUUGCACACACAAGACCGGUAAAAAGUUGCAGUGCAGUUUAUACCGAUUUCCGACCGACGUCAGGGAAAGGAAACGAUCGGUUGAACGAUGUAGGAGAGCAGACAGAGAUUAUAAUCCAAAUGACAGGAUUUGCAGCUGCCAUUUUCUCGAUGGCAAGAAAGAGAAUGGACCAACUAUAUUCAGUUAUAGUAAAAACUUUGGAUGUUUUCCAGAUGAAGCCAUACCAAAAAGACGCAAAAUUAUGAAACCUGCUGUAGAGGAAAUAUCUGCUUCAAACAUAGAUGUGGGAGCUGAGGCUGAAGUUGAGGCCAAUUCCAAUAUUACUGUACCAGACAGCAUAACUGUACUUCAUGAUCACGAGUAUGCAACUUCAAGUCCUCAACAUAAUAAAGCAUCCCUUAAACAUAUGGAAGAGGAAUUAGUAAAGUUGCAGCAAGAAAUUAACAUGCUCAAGCUUAAAAAACCGUCCAUGACAAUUGGGAACAUAAUUAAUGACCCUGAAAAGAUGCUGCUGUAUACAUCAUUUUCUGCAGAUACCUAUUACAUUUUGGAGAACCUCGUGGAGAGAAUGGGUCCGUUCAAUUAUUAUGGUGGUUGGACUGUGGUGAACUUCAGUGUCAGCGAUCAGUUGUUGAUGACAUUAAUGAAGUUACGACUCAACUGCAGGGACCUUGAUUUAGCAGAGAGGUUCAACACUAGUCGUGCUACUGUGUCCAAUAUUAUCAACACAUUUGUGCAUGCCCUGCAUGAAAUUUUGUUUGAAGGGGUCAUGAAAGCUGUCGGAAUACCAAGUCAACUGAAAUGCCAAGGAUCCAUGCCAAAGUCAUUUGAAGAAUUUUCAUCGGCUAGAAUUGCAAUGGACGCCAAUGAUCCUGGCUGACAAAGGAUUCAACAUUUUUGACAAACUUCCAAAUGGUGUCACCCUAAAUAUCCCGCCCUUCCUCACUAGCAAAUCACAUUUCACCAAGGAAGAAGCUCAACUGUGCUAUAAAAUAGGCAGAAGCAGAAUCCAUGUGGAGCGGGCAAAUGAGAGAAUAAAGAACUUUGAAAUUCUGAGCCAUAUUCCGUCACAGUAUAGACACCUAUCCACUAAAAUAUUUCAACUUUGUGUGGCCCUUGUUAAUUUACAGGCUCCCCUUUUGAAAGAGAUUGCAGAAAAGUAUGACAUUGAAGAACCUAUUCAGUAGGUCAAUGCUUAUGUUUAUAAAUGCAUAUCUAGAAUUUGCAACCCUCUAGUUAACACAGUGUACUAUAUUUUCUAUGUAUAUGUACAUGUGAGAUUAUAAAGUUAAGAUUCUUUGUUUAAUUAAUUCUAUUGGUAUGGCAUCGUCACAAACAAAGACCAAUAUGUACAUCAUGUCAUAAGAAAAAACUAUGCAAACUCUGUAUCGUGGCUUGUGGUUUGAUUAACAAAAGUUACUGAACCAU
rnacentral:misc_RNA from 1 species